CCUACGAGAGGCAGCAGUGGGGAAUAUUGGACAAUGGGGGCAACCCUGAUCCAGCCAUGCCGCGUGUGUGAAGAAGGCCCUCGGGUUGUAAAGCACUUUCAGUGAGGAAGAACGCCUGGUGGUUAAUACCCAUCAGGAAAGACAUCACUCACAGAAGAAGCACCGGCCAACUCCGUGCCAGCAGCCGCGGUAAUACGGAGGGUGCGAGCGUUAAUCGGAAUUACUGGGCGUAAAGCGCGCGUAGGUGGCUUGAUAAGCCGGUUGUGAAAGCCCCGGGCUCAACCUGGGAACGGCAUCCGGAACUGUCAAGCUAGAGUGCAGGAGAGGAAGGUAGAAUUCCCGGUGUAGCGGUGAAAUGCGUAGAGAUCGGGAGGAAUACCAGUGGCGAAGGCGGCCUUCUGGACUGACACUGACACUGAGGUGCGAAAGCGUGGGUAGCAAACAGGAUUAGAUACCCUAGUAGUC
rnacentral:rRNA from 1 species